UAAAUUUUAUUUAUUAAUUCUUUUUUUUUAAAAAUUAUUAUAUUAAAAAUAAUUAUAAAAUGUAAAUUUUUAGUAUUUUAUAAAGAAAAAAUAAUUUAAAUGAUAGUUUAUUAGUAUUGUAAAAGAAAAUUGAAAUAAUUUGAAAAAUUAUUAUUGUAAAAGAAAAUUUAAUUUAUUGUACCUUGUGUAUCAGGGUUUAUUAAAUAAAAAUUAAAUAGUUAAUUUUCUCGAUUUUAAAAGAGUUAAUAUUUUAUAAAAGUUAAUGUGGUAAAAUUAUUUUAAAUAAAAUAUUAGAAAUGAAAUGUUAUUCGUUUUUAAAGGUAUCUAGUUCUUUAAGAAAUAAAUUUAAUUUAGAAAUUUUAUAUUAUUUAAUUAAAUAAAUUAAUUAAAUAAAUAUUUAAUUUUAAUAUAAUAUGGGAUAAGCUGUAUUAUAAAUUUUUAAAAAUAUUUAAAUAAAAUAAUAAAUAUAGAUUUAGAAAUAGUUAUUAUUAAUAAAAGUGUUAUAAUUUAUUUUAUAAAAUAAAUUAUUUAUUUAAAUUUUAAAUUUUUAUUAAAGUAUUAAUUUUAAUUUUAAAAAUUAAAAAAUAAUGGUAAAAUUAGUAUAUAUUAUUGUAAUAAUAAAUAAAUAUGAAAAUUUUAUAUAAAGAACUCGGCAAAAUUGUAAUGUUCGCCUGUUUAACAAAAACAUGUCUUUUUGAAUUAAAUUUAAAGUCUAGCCUGCCCACUGAAUUAUUUAAAUGGCCGCAGUAUCCUAACUGUGCAAAGGUAGCAUAAUCAUUAGUCUUUUAAUUGAAGGCUGGUAUGAAUGGUUGGACGAGAUAUUAACUGUUUCAUAUAGAUUUAUAAUAGAAUUUUAUUUUUUAAUCAAAAAGUUAAAAUAUAUUUAAAAGACGAGAAGACCCUAUAAAUCUUUAUAUUUAGAUUAUUAUAUUUUUUUAGAUAAAUUUUAAUAUAAUAAUUAAUAAUAUUUUAUUGGGGUGAUAUUAAAAUUUAAUAAACUUUUAAUUUUAUUAAAUCAUUAAUUUAUGAAUAAUUGAUCCGUUAAUAACGAUUAAAAAUUUAAGUUACUUUAGGGAUAACAGCGUAAUUUUUUUGGAGAGUUCAUAUCGAUAAAAAAGAUUGCGACCUCGAUGUUGGAUUAAGAAAUAUGUUUAGGUGUAGCCGCUUAAAUAAUAAGUCUGUUCGACUUUUAAAUUCUUACAUGAUCUGAGUUCAAACCGGCGUAAGCCAGGUUGGUUUCUAUCUUUAAAAAAUUAAAAUAUUUCAGUACGAAAGGACCUAAUAUUUGAUAAAUAAUUAUUUAAUAAAUUGAAUAUUAUUAAUAU
rnacentral:rRNA from 1 species